GUACGAUAACACUCGUUUUUAUUCUUAUCUUCCUCCUCGAUCCGAAUCUGAGAACCUCAUAAAUCCGACCUCAAUUCUCAUACUCAAAGACUAAUCCCAACCUCAUCUCAAAACCAAAAUUAACCCAUGUAUCAGAUCUAAAAGAAAACCCUCUUUUGUAACCCUAUAUUUAGAGUAUUCGUUGAUAAAACCAAAAUCAAAUUCUCAUCUCAUUUUGGUUUAUUUGUUCAUACGAAAACAACUCUCAUCAGCGAAUUAAGUCUGAUUUCAAAAACUAAUCCUAACCAUAUCUUUGAAUCAAAACCCAUCUCAGAAUUGGAACCGUAAUCCUUUGACAUCCCAUAAUAUAAUCUCGUAACCCUAGAUUAAGUUAAACUUUCUCCUGAAAUUAAAGCAAACCCUCUUCUCAUAUUCGAUAGAGAUGAAAGUACAAGAAGAAGACUUCACCAGUGUUUGUGAUAAAACCUUUGAAUUUGCUAUGAGAAUGGAUGCUGGUGGUGGAGAUGAAGAACCCUCUCAUGUCUCUGAUCUCGCCGUGCCAUAUACCAGCACCAAUUGCGGAGGAGCUGAGUAAUGGUGUUGAAGUUCAUGAACAACUGAACAAUGAGGAAGAGGUUAUUAAGGAGCCUCCUCAAGUUCAACCAGUGAAAACUGAAUUUCGAUAAUUGGCAGAGCCUGUUGGGCCUGUGGUGCAAUAAGAUGCUCCAAAGAAGUUAGAUGCUGCAACUGUCAGUUCCUAACUAACUUAUUUUUUAGUUUGAAUCUAUGUACUUAGUUCCUUAUUGAAUCACAUCACUGAUAUCCAAUUUCGUACGCAGUUGAAAGUUGCGAAAGGGCCAACCACCCAUUCUUUUACUGACUUCAAACGAUUUUCUGUGCAUACGUUUUGGUGCGUUUGUUUUUUAUUUAUUAUGCCAUCUCCUUUCUAAUGUCCUUCAUCCCGUUCUUCAUAAUCGAGGGGCAACUCCAUCUAUAUUAAGAGCCUGUCAUCGACUGCAAAAGACAAACAUGUUGAGAAUGAGUUCAAGAGUUUUGGAACAAUUAAGCUAAGAGUUUGCAACAGGGGUUAUGUUUUGGCUUUGUCGAAUUUGAACAGUUGAGCUCCAUGCAAAAUGAAAUGAAGGUUUACAGUGUCAUGUUUAGUGGAGUUGAUGUGUGUUGCAGGUAAGCAUCCAUUGAGUACAUGGUUAGGGAGCAGGAUAAGAAUGUUAACUGCAAAUAUACCAAAUAUGUGUAGGUUGUCUACUCAUUGUGCAGAAGGUGGAGAAUUAUGCUCAGAGGCAGAGUCAGUCUACCAAUCACUAUAAUAUGCUGCCUCUACUGGAAGCAUAACAAUGUGAAAGUUCUUCUAGAAUACAGUACCACUGGAAAUGUAUAGGAUAUGUACUUGAUCCAGACUUUUCAUAUAUUUGUGAAUAUUAUGGCUAUUCAUGAACAACAUUUUAAGUUAGUUGACAAAGAAAAAUGGCCAAGGGAGCAUCCUCUGACCAGAGGUGUAUCUUCAGGUGCAUAGCCCAAAUAAGGUUUGAUUGGAUGGCCAUGUGACCUUCUCUGCUAGUGUUUGUUGGUUGGAAUGAACAUUAUCGAUUUUAUAGUCAUUUUCUAGUGUUUAUAAUCUUGUAUCUCAAAUGAUUACCCAGCAGAUUUGAUUUUUGCCCCUCGAGAUUUUCUUGUACAAUUAGUUUUUCGGUUAGCUCUAUAAUUGGGAUUUUAGGUUAUUCCUAUGUUCUUCUAUUUGCUGGAUCAAUGAUUAUAUGCUAGUUAUCCUCUCACCUUAUACUAGUGUACUUAGUUUGCAGAAACAGAACAAAAAUUCUGGUUGAGAAGGCUUCAAAGAUGUAGUCUAUGAAUCUAAUAAUGUUAAGGAUAAGUCGGGUUCAUUACAUCCUUCCUGUCCAUUGUGCUAAGUGCAGAAAAAGAAUGAGGUUUGCUAAUGAAUCCCUGUUGUAAUACCUUGUUCAUAAUGGGAUUUCGUUGUGUAAGUUCAAACUAAGUUCAUAAUUUUGUAAAAUGUUGCAACGAUGAAUAAUGUUGUGACUUGUGAGGAUGAAUGAUUUUCUUAUCAGGUCAGGGUUUAAGAUUAUUUGUAAUACUGGAAUUUCAUAAUAUGUAUUCUUUUUUAAAUUCUGGUAAUAUAUUUUGCAACGGAUAUAUGUUGCUUAAAUUAUU